AUACUCCUGACUGACCGAUAGUGAACCAGUACCGUGAGGGAAAGGCGAAAAGAACCCCGGCGAGGGGAGUGAAAAAGAACCUGAAACCGUGUACGUACAAGCAGUGGGAGCACCCUUUGGGGUGUGACUGCGUACCUUUUGUAUAAUGGGUCAGCGACUUAUAUUCUGUAGCAAGGUUAACCGUAUAGGGGAGCCGAAGGGAAACCGAGUCUUAACCGGGCGUUAAGUUGCAGGGUAUAGACCCGAAACCCGGUGAUCUAGCCAUGGGCAGGUUGAAGGUUGGGUAACACUAACUGGAGGACCGAACCGACUAAUGUUGAAAAAUUAGCGGAUGACCUGUGGCUGGGGGUGAAAGGCCAAUCAAACCGGGAGAUAGCUGGUUCUCCCCGAAAGCUAUUUAGGUAGCGCCUCGUGAAUUCAUCUCCGGGGGUAGAGCACUGUUUCGGCUAGGGGGCCAUCCCGGCUUACCAACCCGAUGCAAACUGCGAAUACCGGAGAAUGUUAUCACGGGAGACACACGGCGGGUGCUAACGUCCGUCGUGAAGAGGGAAACAACCCAGACCGC
rnacentral:rRNA from 1 species